AAACUUAAAGGAAUUGACGGGGGCCCGCACAAGCAGCGGAGCGUGUGGUUUAAUUCGAGGCUACACGAAGAACCUUACCUGGGUUUGACAUCACGGUGGUAGGGAACCGAAAGGGGACCGACCGCAAGGAGCCGUGACAGGUGCUGCAUGGCUGUCGUCAGCUCGUGUCGUGAGAUGUUCGGUUAAGUCCGAAAACGAGCGCAACCCUCGGGGGAAGUUACACGUGUCUGACCCGACUGCCUGCGAGAAGCAGGAGGAAGGUGGGGAUGACGUCAAGUCAGCAUGGCCUUUAUAUCCAGGGCUACACACACGCUACAAUGGGCAGUACAGUGGGAAGCGAAGCCGCGAGGCGGAGCGGAUCCAAAAAGCUGUUCUAAGUUCGGAUUGCAGGCUGCAACUCGCCUGCAUGAAGCUGGAGUUGCUAGUAACCGCAGGUCAGCGAUACUGCGGUGAAUACGUUCCCGGGCCUUGUACACACCGCCCGUCACGUCAUGGGAGCUGGUCACGCCUGAAGCCGAUGAGCGAACCGCAAGGGAGCAGUCGUCGAAGGCAGGGCUGGUGACUGGGACGAAGUCGUAACAAGGUAGCUGUAGCGGAAGCUGCGGCUGGAUCACCUCCUUUCUG
rnacentral:rRNA from 1 species